GACGAACGCUGGCGGCGUGCUUAACACAUGCAAGUCGAACGGAAAGGCCCUGCUUUUGUGGGGUGCUCGAGUGGCGAACGGGUGAGUAACACGUGAGUAACCUGCCCUUGACUUUGGGGUAACUUCAGGAAACUGGGGCUAAUACCGGAUAGGAGCUCCUGCUGCAUGGUGGGGGUUGGAAAGUUUCGGCGGUUGGGGAUGGACUCGCGGCUUAUCAGCUUGUUGGUGGGGUAGUGGCUUACCAAGGCUUUGACGGGUAGCCGGCCUGAGAGGGUGACCGGCCACAUUGGGACUGAGAUACGGCCCAGACUCCUACGGGAGGCAGCAGGGGGGAAUAUUGCACAAUGGGCGGAAGCCUGAUGCAGCAACGCCGCGUGCGGGAUGACGGCCUUCGGGUUGUAAACCGCUUUCGCCUGUGACGAAGCGUGAGUGACGGUAAUGGGUAAAGAAGCACCGGCUAACUACGUG
rnacentral:rRNA from 1 species